rnacentral:rRNA from 1 species
ACGCUGGCGGCGCGCCUAACACAUGCAAGUCGAACAGAGCUUAGAGAGCUUGCUUUUUAAGCUUAGUGGCGAACGGGUGAGUAACGCGUGAGUAACCUGCCCUAGAGUGGGGGACAACAGUUGGAAACGACUGCUAAUACCGCAUAAGCCCACGGUACCGCAUGGCACUGAGGGAAAAGGAUUUAUUCGCUUUAGGAUGGACUCGCGUCCAAUUAGCUAGUUGGUGAGGUUAAACGGCCCCACCAAGGCGACGAUCAGUAGCCGGUCUGAGAGGAUGAACGGCCACAUUGGGACUGAGAUACGGCCCAGACUCCUACGGGAGGCAGCAGUGGGGAAUAUUGGGCAAUGGGGGAAACCCUGACCCAGCAACGCCGCGUGAAGGAAGAAGGCCUUCGGGUUGUAAACUUCUUUUACCAGGGACGAAGGACGUGACGGUACCUGGAGAAAAAGCAACGGCUAACUACGUG